rnacentral:lncRNA from 1 species
CCUGAAAUUCCAGAGAUGUUCCCGGGGUUUUUUUCCAUGCCAGAGUUCAGGGGGUUGGGAAUUGUGGGAAUUUCAGGAAUUCUGGAGGAUUUGGGGUUGGUUCCAGGCUGGGCCCCCACGCCAGCCUGGACAGCAUCGUCUGCGCCAACAAGGUACCCGGAAUUCCGUGAAAUUUUGGGAAUUUUGGGAAUUCUGGGGGUUUGUCACUGGUUGGAUCCUGUGGGAUUGAAAUUCUGGGAAUUUCGGGAAUUCUGGGGAUGUUUUAAUGUUGGUUCCAAGCUGGGCCCGAACGCCAGCCUGGACAGCGCCGUCUGCGCCGUCUGCGCCAACAAGGUACCGGAAAUUCCGGGAAUUCCAGAAAAUUCCGGGAAUUCUGGAGGUUUGUUCCUGGUUGGAUCCUGUGGGAUUGAAAUUCUGGGAAAUUUUGGGAAUUCUGGAGAUGUUUUAGGGGUUGGUUCCAAGCUGGGCCCGCACGCCAGCCUGGACAGCGUCGUCUGCGCCAACAAGGUACCCGGAAAUUCCAUGGAAUUCCAGAAAAUUCUGGGAAUUCUGGAGAGGUUCCCAGGGUUUUUUCCAUGCCAGAGUUCAGGGGGUUGGGAAUUGUGGGAAUUUCGGGAAUUCUGGAGACGUCUUAGGGGUUGGUUCCAGGCUGGGGCCGCCAACAAGGUACCGGGAAUUCCGGGAAUUUCUGGGAAUUUUGGGAAUUCUGGAGGUUUGUCACUGGUUGGAUCCUGUGGGAUUGAAAUUCUGGAGAUUUUGGUGGUUCUGGAAGCUCCAGAGCCAUUCCUGGGGCUCUGGUCCCAAC